AUGCUUGUAUAUCAUGAAAAUAAUGCUUUAUGUGUUGUUCAUAUUGUUGAAUUCAUUCAUGAUGCCACUGAAAAUUAUUAUGAGGGAGGAAUAUAUGCUCGUAGGAAUUGCAAUAAUAUCAAGUUUCCUCCCUAUGUGUUGAAAAUCUUGAAGUUAUCCUUGUUUUACCUUCCUAUGCAAGUUGAUUCUUGUUCCCACAAGUUGUUUGCUCACAAAUCCCUAUGCAUAGUAAGUGGGUUAUACUUAAAUGUGUUUGUCAUAUGCUUCAUGAUGCUCCCAUUAUGUUUCAAUUCUUAUCUUUUAUGUGAGCAUCAUUGA
rnacentral:rRNA from 1 species